CAGACUUUCUCUCAUGAUGUUAAAUUAAAGCAACGUUUUACAGAUAUGACGGUCCGAUGAACGUUUCGAGACGAGCGAGUAACAGCUGUACAAAAUAUCGCUCAUCCACGCACGCAGAAGUGUGCGUUACACGCGUGACAGCCUUGCAACACAAGAUGGAAUGAGGAUUCAGCUCAUUGCGAUGUAAAACACGAUGCACGAGAGGAAAGAGUUUCAGAAACUGCUGCAAAACAAUAGGCAUAACUUCUAACACGGUUGAUACGCCGGUUACCGCAAGCCGAAAGCAGCUAAUACAGCAAGUUAUCCACUUAGAAAUCCGACGUAACACCGUGAGAGAAGAGUUCGAGGGGUUGCGGGGAAGGCGUAGGGAAGGCUGUUACCAACUUUGGAUAAACCUGGCUAAGUUUCCUGGCUCGGUACUUACGGAACUGUCACGCGAAAACGCUCAAGUUUAUUCUUCCCGCACGCACCGACAGAGAAAUACCGCGGACAUCGAUUUACAUAACGAUUAAAUUAAUUCAGAAUUUAAGUGCACUGUUUGCCAGAAUCUUGAAGGAGUAACAUAUCCAGAAAUCAACACAUCAGAAAAAUUGCCAAUUCGUAUUUUACUGGUCGCCAAGAGAAAAUCGAAGGGUGCCUUCGACGUCUCAUCAGAAUGGGACUUUCCUCGACAGAGCAAACACAUUUCCGACAUGUUCGAUAACGUAAAAGUAAAGAAAGGAUGAGAUGCGGAGGAGGAAUAGUGUAUGCAGACGCGAGCCUAUAUCAAAAGUUCACUUCCGUGGGGUCCGCGAAAAGGGAGACGAUGACAUGGCUGCGUCAGAGAAAAGGGGAUAAACGUAUUGCACAGGAAAAGAUAUAUUCAGCCUAGCAAAAUCCCGCAAUCAACGUCAACCGGAUUCAUAGGAUGAUUAAAAUAACUACUUGACAGAAAUGCUACUUUUGUGUAACACAUCCUCUUUAACUCGCAUCGAUAAUAUGCUGAACGUUCAAAGGUUAUCUGAACGGAAUUGUGCCACGCUGAUAACAAGUAUGAAAAUAUAAAAGCAUGUGAAUACUCACGAUAUCGAAGUCCAGAUUCUCGGCAAUCCAGUCGCGUCC